CGUAAAGCGCGUGCAGGCGGUUUGGUAAGUUGGGCGUGAAAGCUCCCGGCUCAACUGGGAGAGGUCGUCCAAUACUACCGGACUAGAGAACAGAAGAGGAAGAUGGAAUUCCCGGUGUAGUGGUGAAAUGCGUAGAUAUCGGGAGGAACACCAGUGGCGAAGGCGGUCUUCUGGUCUGUUUCUGACGCUCAGACGCGACAGCUAGGGUAGUAAACGGGAUUAGAGACCCCGGUAAUCCUAGCCGUAAACGAUGUGAACUUGGCGUUGGUGGCUUAAACACCAUCAGUGCCGAAGCAVVCGCGAUAAGUUCACCGCCUGGGGACUACGGCCG
rnacentral:rRNA from 1 species